rnacentral:lncRNA from 1 species
AGGAGUUUGAGGCCAGCCUGGGCUACACAGUGCGACCCUAUUUCAAUAAAGAAGAAAAAUAUGAUUUCUUUGGUCACAUCAACUAGAGCGCUGAGUGAGAGUGCAAGACAAUAGAAUUAAAAGAAAAAGUUACCUCUCCCUAGCUUCCCUCUGCUGAUUCCUGGACCUUUUCUUUCCAUGGCUCGAGAAGGCGGUGGAGGUGACUGAGUAGAACCCGAGAUCUUUGUCCCGUUUCCUCCCGGUUCCCUGGUCUUGAAAUGGCUCCCAUUUCCAGGGUUCCCCGGCCCUGCUGCCACCGGUAAGCUGCAGCUGUGCAGCUGCUCCCUUGAGCCUCUGAGCUGAGAUCACUCUCUCACCGCGGCCUUCAGCAGACAGCGCCCACCCUGGGCUCCGGGCAGAGCGAUCCUGGCAGCAGGGACAGCUGCGCGGCCGUCCACGGGGACCCAGGCUCCCUGGCUUCUGUCCUUCCCUCCUCCGAUGGGGUGAGUCCACGUUGGAUUUAAAAGCCCGAGGCUGGCCAGAAGCCCAGGAGCUAAGCGGACCCUAAAACUGGUACAGACGAGGAGCUCUGGCUGGUAUCAUAAAGAAGAUCGUCUUAAACAUAGCUGUGGAAAGUAUGAGCACUUUGGGUAGGAGUGUCACCAUAUGAGCACAUCUACACCCGCAUUUAUGAAAAGUAGGUCUUUGCUGGGCGUGGUGGUGCACACCUUGCAUCCCAGCAGUCAGAAGGCUGAGGCAGGAGGAUCACUGUGAGUCUGAGGCCAGCCUGCACUACGUAGAGAGACCCUGUCUCAAAAAACCAAGACAAAACACACACACACACACACACACAAACACAGGCACACACGCACGCACACACGCCAAAACAAGUAGACAUCUCAUGGUCCCCCGUACUCCUCUAUCCCGGAAGGGCUAAGUCCCACAGACCUUGUAACAUCUGAACGGCGCUUGCUAGCUCACACACAUUUUUGAGGACACAUAACUUUUUUCCUUCCAAUCAGGCACCGGAAGGUCUUGAGCAUUUUAAAGUCCCAGACAGCCUCCCCUUCACGGGAGCCAAAUAAAAAGCAUGUGACCCGGAUGGAGCCAGAGGCUGGCUCCAGAACAUAAAGGCACAGACGGAGUCCAGGGCUGAGUCACUGCUGGCAGCCCCCGUGUACUAAUCCAGGAGUCCCUGGUGCUGCGAUCCCAGAGAUCCCCAGUGUGCUUCUUCCUGGGCCUGCUUUACUCGGGAAUUUUUUCCGUUCUUUCUAUUUUGCAUUAUCACGCACCAUCCCAGC